rnacentral:rRNA from 1 species
CUACGUGCCAGCAGCCGCGGUAAUACGUAGGGCGCGAGCGUUGUCCGGAAUUAUUGGGCGUAAAGAGCUUGUAGGCGGUUUGUCGCGUCUGCUGUGAAAGGCCGGGGCUUAACUCCGUGUAUUGCAGUGGGUACGGGCAGACUAGAGUGCAGUAGGGGAGACUGGAAUUCCUGGUGUAGCGGUGGAAUGCGCAGAUAUCAGGAGGAACACCGAUGGCGAAGGCAGGUCUCUGGGCUGUAACUGACGCUGAGAAGCGGAAGCAUGGGGAGCGAACAGGAUUAGAUACCCUGGUAGUCCAUGCCGUAAACGUUGGGCACUAGGUGUGGGGGACAUUCCACGUUUUCCGCGCCGUAGCUAACGCAUUAAGUGCCCCGCCUGGGGAGUACGGCCGCAAGGCUAAAACUCAAAGAAAUUGACGGGGGCCCGCACAAGCGGCGGAGCAUGCGGAUUAAUUCGAUGCAACGCGAAGAACCUUACCAAGGCUU